CAGUAGCCGCGGUAAUACGAAGGGUGCAAGCGUCACUCGGAAUUACUGGGCGUAAAGCGUGCGUAGGUGGUGGUUUAAGUCCGUUGUGAAAGCCCUGGGCUCAACCUGGGAAUUGCAGUGGAUACUGGGUCACUAGAGUGUGGUAGAGGAUAGUGGAAUUUCCGGUGUAGCAGUGAAAUGCGUAGAGAUCGGAAGGAACAUCUGUGGCGAAGGCGGCUAUCUGGGCCAACACUGACACUGAGGCACGAAAGCGUGGGGAGCAAACAGGAUUAGAUACCCCCGUAGUCCCUGUCUCUUAUAC
rnacentral:rRNA from 1 species